UACGGGGGGGGCAAGCGUUGUUCGGAAUUACUGGGCGUAAAGGGCUCGUAGGCGGCCAACUAAGUCAGACGUGAAAUCCCCCGGCUUAACCUGGGAACUGCGUCUGAUACUGGACGGCUUGAGUAUGGGAGAGGAACGUAGAAUUCCAGGUGUAGCGGUGAAAUGCGUAGAUAUCAGGAGGAACACCGAUGGCGAAGGCAGGUCUCUGGGCAUUAACUGACGCUGAGGAGCGAAAGCAUGGGGAGCGAACAGG
rnacentral:rRNA from 1 species